CAUCAGGAUUGGCUUUUAUAAGCCUCACAUGGUUUCACCUGUAGCAGGAACCAUGGGACGUGUUCUUCUUUUUUGUGUGGUGGCAUUUAUGUGGCUUGACAAAGGAUUAUGUUUGCCAAUUGCUUCUGGAGAAGAGGGUCACAGGAUAAAUAUCUUGACGUCUCAACAUGACAUUUCUAUGAAGAGGCCAACUGCCUUUCUGAAGUCGCUGGCUUCCGUUUUACCACAAAGUGAAAAAGCACAACUGGAAACGGCCAAGAGUGGAUUAAUUCCCUGUGAAGCGUGUCAAGCGGCAGCGCCGCCCUAGCGUGUCAAGAAGCGGCAGCGCCGCCUGGCGUGUCAAGAAGCGACGACGCCGCCCACAACGUGUCAAGAAGCGACGACGCCGCCCACAACGUGUCAAGAAGCGACGACGCCGCCCACAACGUGUCAAGAAGCGACGACGCCGCCCACAACGUGUCAAGAAGCGACGACGCCGCC